CAGAACAGGAAGUAGGCUUUUAAUCUUUGGUCUGAAAUCAAGUGUUUCAGAAAACGAGAAGGCUCCAGCUGGAGGAAGGCUUAAUGUGUCACAAGUCACAACAGGAAGCUAGGUGACUCGGCUUCGCCGCUCCUGUCACGACGUCUGGGCAGGCUCAUCCAUUCGCCCAUCCGAUCCGUGGGAAGCUGCCUCUUCCCCGUGUACCCCAGCCAAACCACAUAUGGAAACCCUGGUGCACAGAUUCCAGCUGCCUUCUAGCUCUAGAGUACAAGUCUAGUCUGCUGCCCAGAACCACUAAGUGAGAAAACUGACUCCAAAACACCCUUGGCCUGAUCAGCUCACCAGUGGAUAGGACAUGGCUUCCCAGUGUGUGCGAACAGGAGUUGGACACCAGCCCAGGAAGAGAUCAGAACAUUGGUGAGAAUAUUCUCCGAAAAACAACUUGGCAUUUCCCCCCGCAAGUUAAAUGUGGAGUGACCACAUGACCAAACAAAAUCAACCUUUCAGAUGAACAUGUACAUCAUGUAAAGGCUUGCUCACCGUCCUCGUGAGAGGGAAAAAGUGGGAACGGUCCAAAUGUCCAUCAGCUCAUGAAUGAACAUGCAGGGAGCAUACAUUGGAACAAUUACCCGGCAGUCAAGAAGAAUGAAGUCCUGGUGCUUGGAAUGUGGACGGAUCUCAGAAACCUCCUAUCAGCUGCCAGAUGCUCAUCACAAAGACCACACAUCACACGACUCUGCUGAUCCAAAAUGUCCAGAGUAGGCAGGUUCACAGGCAGGAGGAGAUUAGUGGUUUUCAGAGGCUGGGGGGACAGGAGGUAGUGGACGGAGGGUUUCUUCCUUGGUUGAUGAAAAUGUUCUGGGAUUAGAUCGUGGUAAUCAUUGCAUAACUGCAAAUAUACUAAAAUACACUAAAUU